UUCUUAUCGAGAGCGGCGGAGGGAUAGGCCCGAUGAAGCCCGGCAACCGAUUUGAAUGUACAGCAGAGGCUGUAUUUUCAAAUGUCAUGGUGCUAAUUCCUACAACCCCAAGGAGAUUUGGCGGUUGGGAGAUGAGAA
rnacentral:ncRNA from 2 species